rnacentral:rRNA from 1 species
UACGAAGGUGGCAAGCGUUACUCGGAAUUACUAGGCGUAAAGGGCAGGUAGGUGGUCUGGUUAGUCUGUUGUGAAAGCUCCUUGCUUAACGGGGAGAGGCCAACAGAUACUGCCAGGCUUGAGUAUAGGAGAGGGUACUGGAAUUCCCGGUGUAGCGGUGAAAUGCGCAGAGAUCGGGAGGAACAUCAGUGGCGAAAGCGACUUCCUGGACCAAUACUGACGCUCAUGCACGAAAGCGUGGGGAGCAAACAGG